rnacentral:rRNA from 1 species
UGGGGAAUAUUGCACAAUGGGCGCAAGCCUGAUGCAGCGACGCCGCGCGGGGGAUGAAGGCCUUCGGGUUGUAAACUCCUUUCGUUAGGGACGAAGCCUAUUUAGGUGACGGUACCUGGAGAAGAAGCACCGGCUAAUUACGUGCCAGCAGCCGCGGUAAUACGUAGGGUGCGAGCGUUGUCCGGAAUUACUGGGCGUAAAGAGCUCGUAGGUGGUGUGUCGCGUCGUCUGUGAAAUCCCGGGGCUUAACUUCGGGCGUGCAGGCGAUACGGGCAUAACUUGAGUGCUGUAGGGGAGACUGGAAUUCCUGGUGUAGCGGUGAAAUGCGCAGAUAUCAGGAGGAACACCAAUGGCGAAGGCAGGUCUCUGGGCAGUAACUGACGCUGAGGAGCGAAAGCAUGGGUAGCGAACAGG